rnacentral:rRNA from 1 species
GUACACUCCUGCGGGAGGCAGCAGUAGGGAAUCUUCCACAAUGGGUGCAAACCUGAUGGAGCAAUGCCGCGUGAGUGAAGAAGGUCUUCGGAUCGUAAAGCUCUGUUGUUAGAGAAGAACACGUGCUAGGUAACUACUAGCGCCUUGACGGUAUCUAACCAGAAAGUCACGGCUAACUACGUGCCAGCAGCCGCGGUAAUACGUAGGUGACAAGCGUUGUCCGGAUUUAUUGGGCGUAAAGGGAGCGCAGGCGGUCUGUUUAGUCUAAUGUGAAAGCCCACGGCUUAACCGUGGAACGGCAUUGGAAACUGACAGACUUGAAUGUAGAAGAGGAAAAUGGAAUUCCAAGUGUAGCGGUGGAAUGCGUAGAUAUUUGGAGGAACACCAGUGGCGAAGGCGAUUUUCUGGUCUAACAUUGACGCUGAGGCUCGAAAGCGUGGGGAGCGAACAGGAUUAGAUACCCCAGUAGUCCCA